rnacentral:lncRNA from 1 species
UUUAAGCAUCGUCUUCUAUCAUCUCCACAUCUGCGAGCUGCACUGCCCCCAAAGACUUUGAUUUCUGCCUUACUCUUCCAUUUCAUUUUCCUUCAUUUUUCCACUUUUCUCUCAGCUCAAAAGAAAGAAAAAAAAAAGCAUCUCUGUUGGUUUAUUUUCGUUGGCUUCUACUUUCCUAAUCUUCUUUUAUCUCAGAAAAAAAAACAAAAAAAUUGUUCUCUUAAAUUACUUGUUUUAUCCCUGCUACUCUUCCUUUCCUUAAUUUUGGUUUCCCCAUCUCCGGAGUUGGUGAAGUAAUUCCAUAAGAAUUAAGAUCCAUCUGAAUUAAGGUAAGCUUCAAUAAAAUAUAUUAUAUUUUCGGUAAUAUAAUUUUUUUAUAUGCUCAAUUUCUCUUAUUAUUUAUUUGGCUUCUUGAUUUAUUCAAUGGAUAGAUAAAAUUGAGAGUUUAUCUUUGAUGCAUCGACAAUAUAUAAUUUUUAUACAAUAUCAAUUCACCACAAUGCAGCAUCUCGUUAAGAAGUAAAAAUAGUAGAAUCAAAUUAAAAGAUAAUUGACAUAAUACCUAAAAAAGCCUUGAAACUAUUUUAAAAAAUUCAACUAAUUUUUUUUUUUUUUUGCCUAUGAUCUAGACUUUAUAUUAUAAUUAAUAGUUGAUUAAUUAUUUUUAAUUAAAAUGUCAAUUGUAAUGCUAAGUGAAAAGAUAUAAUAAAAUAUAAAUAGAUAUUUAAAAUUUUGAAAAAUAUUUUAUAGGUGGAUAUAUUAUCUUUUUACCCUAUCAUGUUAGAUAUAUGAGUGUGAUUAAUUUCAGAGGAAUUGAUAUGACCUUCCAGAAAUUGAACUACACAAUUAUGAAUGUGGCUCCCAAGCUUAUGCCAAUAUUUCUGGUAGACUUACGCAAGUAUCCCAUUUGGUCCAGAAGCCUUUGUAGAGUGCAUUAGGAACAAAGCACUCUUCAGUUCCUCCACUGAAAUACUAGCAUUUAAAUCAACAUUCAUCUAGUCCGUUAUUUUUUACCGUAUUCCAAACAAGGCUGCGUCUAUCUGUAAUUGACCUGAAGAAAAAAACAAGCCAAUGAAAAAGUCAUUAAUAAUCGAACUCAAUUCACUUGCGAAAUCUGUCCAUUCAUCAUUCUCUUUCUUCAAAGCUCAAAUGGUGUUUUUCCUCCUCCUCUCCUUUGCUGUUCCAAGGAAGAACUUGGUGUUCUUGUCACCUUUUUUCAACCAUGUUACCCUAGAUCUCUGUUUCCACAUCAUCUCUUCCACUUUUACCAAUUGAUUGAUCUAAUUUUGAACAAUUUUAAUUUUUAAAGAGUAGCCAGUUCUUUCAUAAAACUGUUGUAGUUCUAUUCUUUUUCACUUCAUUUGCUUCUCAUCUCCUGUAUAGAUUUAGUUUAUUUUAGUUAUUAUUUUUUGCAAUAUUUUUAUCAUAAAUUUUACUUAAUAUGAUUCAUGUGCAUAUUGGACAUUCCAUAGUAUAAAUGUGUUGUGAAAAUUGCCCAAGAAUCAACAAAGAUAAAACUCAGAGAAAUUAAGUAAACAGAAAAAUAUAAGAAUUUAUGUGGUUCGACCUCUUGUCUACGUCCACGGAAUAAAACUGUUCUUCUAUUAUUGAGAAUUUAAAGUACAAUAAAUUCAUCUUUAUGGUUCCCCAAACCAACCCAAGAUUCCUUGCACACUCUUCUUCAAUAACCUCACAAGAACACUCACCCAAACCACUUUCGCUCCACCUAGAGCAAAAGACAGAAUUACAAAAUGUUUCCUCUCUAGAGCUCUCAAAGCACUACUUGCAAUUCUAAAGCCUAAAAAUCUACUUUUAUAGUAUAAAAGUUCAAAGUAGAAUGUGAUUAGGAUUCGAUGUGGAAUAAAAAGUUUAAAACUAUACAACUACUCAAUGUUAUACACAAACAAAAAAUCCUAAACAAAUAAGAUUUAGAAUUCUAGUCAACCUGAAACUCAACAAAUCUUCACAUUUGACUUGAAUUCAAACUUCUUAAACCUCUUCCACUAGUCGCACCUAAUUGCAACUUCCUAACUCCACUUACUUUCCAACACCUUGGACAACUCUCCAAGCAUAAGACUUUUUAAAUCAUUAGCCUUUAUAAUUACCACGACUUCACAUACUGAAUCAAGUAUGGUCCAACACUGGAUUCUACAAAACAGCCAAUGCACCUGUGUAGCCGUCAAGUCAAUGGCACUAAUUAACUUCGGAAAGGGACCUUGACGACCCUUCCAAUUCACUACUGGUAAGAUUUUUCAUCCUUUCACCAUCAUCUACACCAUGGGAAUCUUUCAUCACCUCUUCGGCAAAUGAAAUCUCACUUUGAUAGCUACCAUCCCUAGUGCAUUGUUCCCAUCUUUUCGAGGCCUCACAUUCUAGACGAUACAAGUCAUUAUGCAAAUUCUCCCUCAUCAGGACCAUGUCGCCUUGUGUGACUUUUACCACUCCAUCACAAGCAGAAUAUCCAUACCUUUUGGAGUCUAACAGGCUCAAUGAUAUUAGAUUCUUACGCAUCUUUGGGACAUAGGCCACACCAUCCAAAGAGCGCACAACCCCAUCAAACAUUUUGAUUUUCACCACUCCAAGACCCAUGAUCUUCACUAUUGACUUAUUACCCAAAGUCAAAUUCCCAGCCACCCCUUCUUGAAGUAAAUCAAAAUAAUCUUUUUGAUAACAUAUGUGAGUAGCAAAAGCAGAAUCUAAAUACCAAUCAGAAUUUGCAUCCAUAUUUUCUGAGAUUGUAAGGACAUCACAAUCAUCACCUUCAGCAACGAAAGCACACUCACCUUUAUUCUCAUUACUUUCAUCCCAUUUUGUAGGACAAUCCUUUUUAAUAUGCCUAUACCUUUUGCAUUUAAAGCAUUGAACAUUGUUAGAUCUAGACUUGUCACCCUUAGAUCCCUUACCAGUUGACUUCCUCCUAUUAGCCUCAAUUACCAAUGCCAAGCCAUUUGGAUCUCUAUCCCCUUCUUUACUUUUCUUUCGGGCUUCAUGAGACAUUAACGUUGUUUGUACUUGUUCUAACAUUAUUGUAUCGAUUUCACAUAUAAGAGAUUCCACAAAUACCUUAUAGGAGUCUGAAAGCGAAGCCAGGAGCAAUAGUGUCUUUUCCUCUUCCUCCACCUUGACAUCAACCUUCUUCAACUGAUCAAAGAUUCCAUCGAAUUCAUUCAUAUGCUUCAUGAGGUCUCCAUUCUCUUCCAUCUUUAAGCGAUACAACUUUCGCCUAAGCUGCAACUUGUUAGAAAGACUUUUCGCCAAGUAAAUUUUUUUUAACUUUGUCCAUAAUCUUGAAGUAGAAUCCUCAUCAAUAACAUGGUUAAACACAUUAUCUCCAAUGCAAAGUCGAAUAAUGCUCACACACCUUUGCUCCAACUCUGCCCAUUCAACAUCUUUCAUGUCAUCUGGUUGCCCUUCCUCUUUUCCUAGCAAAAGACGCAUUAAACCUUGCUGCACAAGGAGAUCUUUCAUCCUUCUCUACCACUGCGUGAAACUAGUCUUACCAUCAAACUUCUCAAUUGAAAAAUUCGUAGAACUAGUAACUUUCGACAUCCUUAUUGAAUCUUGAAUUUACAGAACCCGAAGCUCUGAUACCAGUUUGUUGUGGAAAUUACCCAAGAAUCAACAAAGAUAAAACCCAGAAAAAUUAAGUAAAUAGAAAAACACAAGAAUUUACGUGGUUCGGCCUCUUGCCUACGUCCACGGAGUGAAACUGUUCUUCUAUUAUUGAAAAUUUAAAGUACAAUAAAUUCAUCUUUAUGGUUCCUCAAACCAACUCAAGAUCCCUUGCACACUUUUCUUCAAUAACCUCCCAAGAACACUCACCCAAACCACUCUCGCUCCACCUAGAGCAAAAGACAGAAUUAUAAGGUGUUCCCUCUCUAGAGCUCUCAAAGCACUACUUGCAAUUCUAAAGCUUAGAAAUCUAUUUUUAUAGUAUAAAAGUAAAAAAUAGAAUGUAAUUAAGAUUCAAUGUGGAAUAAAAAAUUUAAAACUAUACAACUAUUUAAUAUUGUACACAAACAAAAAAUCUUAAUCAAAUAAGAUUUAGAAUUCUAGUUAAUCUAAAACUCAACAAAAUAUAUAUAUAUGUAUAUCUUCAUUAGAUAUGUAACAUUAAUUGGUAAACAAACUGGCUGAGAACUUUCUCUCUAAAAUCAAAUCAUGCAUGAAUAGAGAGGGUAGAAUCUUAGUAAAAAUACUAGUAUUAAUUUUGAAAUUAACUCAAACUCAAAGUAAUUGUUUAAAAGGGCAACCUGAAUGCGACGUGAUGUGUGCAGUCAUUACAGCUGGAAGAGAGGUAUGGGUUUGAAUCAGGUAAAGAAGCCAAAGAGGGGUGCUCCUACAUUUUUCUACUUUUUGUUUAUGAUCAGAAGAACCUGAGGUAACAUAUAAAUAUGCAUUGAUAAUCCAACUAGAUCUGCGGCUGUUGUUUGGACAACAAGAGAAAAGGGUAGCUCGGGAACUGAGCAUGCCACUGCCAUGGCCCCUCUCUUAUUAACUCUUUCAACCACGUUCAUUCAAAGUCUAUCCCUAAGCUGUCCUGUCACUGGUGACGGACCCUAUAAUCAACUCACCUCCAAUUGAACCAACUGCACAUGAUUUCUUCCUUACAAUGUCUAGAAAUUUCAUAAACAAUAAAAACAAAACGAAGUUAAUUUAAUAUAUUAUCAACAUUUAUCUAUAUAAAAGUUGAUUUUAUUCGAUUUUUUAUUGCCUCACACGUGUAUAUAGAUAACGAUUGCAUGAUGUGAUAUCAGGAUCACUAGCAGAGACCAUUGCUGCUAACUGAAACACACUAAGCAACUUGAAGAAAGUUGAUGCCAUGCCAUGAUUGGUAGCACUACACUUUUACGUGAAGCUGGUUGAGAAAAGAUUGUGUUUUUGCUUACACAAAUCUUCCUGGAGCAAGUACUUAUAGAGUAAUCAGCUGAGAAUUCUAUGUCAAAAUUGAGAAUAUCCUAUAUGAUCAAAUUCAUGGGCAACAAGAACACUGUAUUUUCC